rnacentral:rRNA from 1 species
UACGUAGGGGGCAAGCGUUGUCCGGAUUUAUUGGGCGUAAAGAGCGUGUAGGCGGCCAGGUAGGUCAGCUGUGAAAACUCGAGGCUCAACCUCGAGACGCCGGUUGAAACCAUCUGGCUAGAGUCCGGAAGGGGAGAGUGGAAUUCCUGGUGUAGCGGUGAAAUGCGCAGAUAUCAGGAAGAACACCCGUGGCUAAGGCGGCUCUCUAGUACGGUACUGACGCUGAGACGCGAAAGCGUGGGGAGCGAACAGG